rnacentral:rRNA from 1 species
GGAGGAAAGCAGGGGAUCGCAAGACCUUGCGCUUUUUGAGCGGCCGAUGCCUGAUUAGCUAGUUGGUAAGGUAAUGGCUUACCAAGGCAACGAUCAGUAGCUGGUCUGAGAGGACGACCAGCCACACUGGGACUGAGACACGGCCCAGACUCCUACGGGAGGCAGCAGUGGGGAAUUUUGGACAAUGGGCGAAAGCCUGAUCCAGCCAUGCCGCGUGAGUGAAGAAGGCCUUCGGGUUGUAAAGCUCUUUCGGUCGGGAAGAAAUAGUUGUGGCUAAUAUCCACAAUGAAUGACGGUACCGACAUAAGAAGCACCGGCUAACUACGUGCCAGCAGCCGCGGUAAUACGUAGGGUGCAAGCGUUAAUCGGAAUUAUUGGGCGUAAAGGGUGCGCAGGCGGUUGUAUAAGUCAGAUGUGAAGUCCCUGGGCUUAACCUAGGAAUUGCGUUUGAAACUACAAAGCUAG